GAGGAAAGUCCGGGCUCCAUAGGGCAGAGUGCCAGGUAACGCCUGGGAGGCGCGAGCCUACGGAAAGUGCCACAGAAAAUAACCGCCUAAGCACUUCGGUGCCGGUAAGGGUGAAAAGGUGCGGUAAGAGCGCACCGCACGUCUGGCAACAGUUCGUGGCUAGGUAAACCCCACUCGGAGCAAGACCAAAUAGGGUUCCAUCAGGCGUGGCCCGCGUCGGAACCGGGUAGGUUGCUAGAGGCGUCCAGUGAUGGCCGUCGUAGAGGAAUGACUGUCCUCGACAAAACCCGGCUUA
rnacentral:RNase_P_RNA from 1 species